rnacentral:rRNA from 1 species
UACGAAGGGUGCAAGCGUUACUCGGAAUUACUGGGCGUAAAGCGUGCGUAGGUGGUUUGUUAAGUCUGUUGUGAAAGCCCCGGGCUCAACCUGGGAAUGGCAAUGGAUACUGGCAGGCUAGAGUGCGGUAGAGGGUAGUGGAAUUCCCGGUGUAGCGGUGGAAUGCGUAGAGAUCGGGAGGAACACCAGUGGCGAAGGCGGCUACCUGGACCAGCACUGACACUGAGGCACGAAAGCGUGGGGAGCAAACAGG